UACGGAGGGUGCAAACGUUGCUCGGAAUUACUGGGCGUAAAGCGCGUGUAGGCGGCCAAGCAAGUCGAGUGUGAAAGCCCUGGGCUUAACUCAGGAAGUGCGCUCGAAACUGCUAGGCUUGAGUACGGGAGAGGGUAGCGGAAUUCCCGGUGUAGAGGUGAAAUUCGUAGAUAUCGGGAGGAACACCAGUGGCGAAGGCGGCUACCUGGACCGAUACUGACGCUGAGACGCGAAAGCGUGGGUAGCAAACAGG
rnacentral:rRNA from 1 species